rnacentral:rRNA from 1 species
AUGAGCCACACGACUCGCCAACAGCUGCUCCUAAACCCACGCACACAACGCACACCCACAUGUACACGCCCGUGCUGCACCUGCACACACACACACACUCCCUGCCGCGGACCCGACGCGCCCAGCACGCCUGGCGUGCCCAUACACGCACCCGACGCGGUGAGCUCGUCGCCGCGGCUUAUUACAUCCAACACUCGCGCCCUAAUCCGCGACUCAGAGCAGCCCGGUGUCCUCGACGUCGUCCACGAGCAGGGCUCGCUCUGUCGCUGGCGCCUUCUUGAGCUGCGAGCACUCGCGCUUGAAAUGUCCGCGUUCGCUGCACUUGUAGCACCGUCCCCGCCGGUUGCCGCCGAGGCCCGAAGCUUCGUUGCGCACGUCAUCGUCGUCGUCCCACGCUCCACCUCGCCGCUGCUCCCGCACCCGCCAUUGUGCCGCCGUGUACAGCAGCUCGCCGCCUGCCUACCUGCGCCGACGCAGCCGCUCGUCAAACGCCUUCAGGCGUCCCAACGCAUCCUCGAACAGCAGCGUCGAGAGGUCACAGAACUGCUCCAUCCCGGCGACCGCUGCGUACAAGCGAUCCGGGACGCAGUCCAGCAGCUUCUUCAUCAUCGCCGAGUCGUCGAAGGUUGCUCCCAGCCCGGCGUAGCGCGCCGCCAUGCCGCUGAUCUUCCCGACGAAGGCGUCCAGCGACUCCCCACCGUCCAUCCGCAGGAGUUCGAACUCGCUGCGCAAUGUGCCCAGCCACGCUGCUCGGACGCGAUCGGCCCCGACGAACCGGGCCUUGAGGCUGCUCCAAAUCUCCGCCGCGGUCUUCUUCGCGGCCACCUGCAGCAGCAGAUCGUCGGCGAGCACCCGGAGCAGGUAAGCCCGCGCCGGCUUAUCCUCGUCAGAUCGGCCUCCACCUUGAUGGCCGAGGUGGUGUAG